rnacentral:lncRNA from 1 species
UCCAUGUUCUGUGUCAGCUUCCAGAACGUUCUUUAUAACCGAUAAGCUUGUCCUUCUUACCCUUUUGCCCAAAACCUCUCUGCUGCUCAGGAUGAAGUCCAAGCCCACAGACAUAGCACUCUAGGGCCUUUGGGAACUGACUCCAGGCCACCUUUCCGGUCUCACCCACCCAGUCCGCCCCCUGUGCCCUGUCUCCCAGACAUACUGGCUGUUUCCCUCUUUACAACACGACAUCCUUCUCCAUACUGGCUUAUUGUUGCUCAUACUGUUCUCUUUCUCUGGAAUGUUCUUUCUCUUUCUUGGCUUAGUGUACACCCUCUCAUUCAUUUAACAAACAUUUGAGCACCUACUAUAUGGCUAGAAAUGGCAAAAUAUCUCAGCCAAACUCUAUCAGAAGAAAAAUGAUUCAAGAUUUCAUUUAAGGAAGCAGAAUCAUUCUGAAAGAUGCUUGGGAAGGGCUCUUCCAGAACAAUGAUAGUCAAACUUAAAUGAGUACACAAGUCACCUGGUGACCUUGCCACAAUGCAGAUUCUGAUUCAGCAGCUCUUGGAUGAAACCAGGGAAUCUGAAUUUUCUAAUGUUGCUGCCAGUCCAAAGACUUUGAGUAGCAAGGGCAUCACCUUUAGAUUUAGACAUGACUGGAUUUAAAUUCCAGCUCUGCUGUUUCCAGCUGCGGGAAGUCGGGCACAUUACUUAAUUUGUCUGGGCUUCAGUUCUUUGUUAUUCUUCAAUGAUGCAUUCUCAAGGAACUCUGAGUUGCAGGUGACCUCUGUCCCAGGCUAGUCUUCAGUCAGUGGCCCUCCUUGACGGUAAUUGAAAUUGGAAGAUACCACUGCCCACGGUGGAGAGAUGGCCCAAGGAAGAAAGGAAAGAAUAAAUAGUAGGACCUACUUCUGAAGUCCAUCUCAAGGAGCUCUCUAAGAGGAAGAAAGAGGCCGUGGAGAGACAUGGGGAAACCAAGUGGAUUCAGUCCCAAGCGAUGCUGGGGCCAGAAGAAGACUGGAUGGAGUGAGAGUGAGGCUCGGGUGAGGCGGAGGCACCAGCCCAGCUCACAGGCCAGAGCCAGGAGGAGGACAGGAGCGCUCAUGGGAACGUCAGAGGGCAGGCUGUCCUCCACCGGCUGGCAGCCACGUGCUGAGCAUGGAGCUCAGAGCUCUGUCUUAGAAUGUGAUGCAGUCGCCAUCCCUGUUGAGUACUUGCACUAUCCCCAUUUCACAUCUGAGAAAGCUGAG